GAUGAACGCUGGCGGCGUGCCUAAUACAUGCAAGUCGAGCGAACAGACGAGGAGCUUGCUCCUCUGACGUUAGCGGCGGACGGGUGAGUAACACGUGGAUAACCUACCUAUAAGACUGGGAUAACUUCGGGAAACCGGAGCUAAUACCGGAUAAUAUAUUGAACCGCAUGGUUCAAUAGUGAAAGCCGGUUUUGCUGUCACUUAUAGAUGGAUCCGCGCCGCAUUAGCUAGUUGGUAAGGUAACGGCUUACCAAGGCAACGAUGCGUAGCCGACCUGAGAGGGUGAUCGGCCACACUGGAACUGAGACACGGUCCAGACUCCUACGGGAGGCAGCAGUAGGGGAUCUUCCGCAAUGGUCGAAAGCCUGACGGAGCGACGCCGCGUGAGUGAUGAAGGUCCUCGGAUCGUAAAACUCUGUUAUUAGGGAAGAACAAAUGUGUAAGUAACUAUGCACGUCUUGACGGUACCUAAUCAGAAAGCCACGGCUAACUACGUG
rnacentral:rRNA from 1 species